GGGAGCUGCGCGUGCACGUGGCGGCAGCGGCACUGCGGCGGUUUGCUCGCCUUUCCCGCCUUUCCCGCCUUUCCCGCCUUUCCCGCCUUUCCCGCCUCAGCUUAGAGCGCGCGCACGGUAACGCGCUUCCCUCAGGGCGAGCCUUGCUUUGGGCCGCCUCAGCCUGCAUUCUCACCUCUGUGUGUGGUUACGGCGCUUGUGUCUUGCAGCUUCGCUUUUUAUUGGUAUACGUGGAACUGAAAAGCAAACAGAUCCACUGAAGUGUUGUGUUUUUUGCACCUAUCAUCACCCUCAAGUCUCCGUAUAACGUGUGGUAAAAAAUGGGGCAAUGGAGAAAUGACAUAUUCAAUGGACAGGGCACUAUAAUUCAUUGUUCCUGUGACAUCUGUGAUAGACUGUGGAUCAAUGGGUGCACUGCUGAAGUUACGGUGUCCUGUUCAGAAUGAGUUUAUGCUGUUUUGUGAAGUAGCUUGAUUUUCCUGUUGCACUGCUAAUGACCGCUCUGGGUUUGAUAGCUCAGAACAGAUGAGGUGAUGCUGGUGGACGGCCUGCUCCCCUGGUGCAGUAUGGCCUAGGUGUUUGUCAUGUCUAAGAUAUAGCUACUGGACAUGAUCAUGCCUCGCUAUGGCGCAGCUUCCACAAUGAGGUCACCUGCAGCUUGCAAAAGCAUCUUGCUGCCAUCUCCCUCCACCAGAACAGUAAGCCGGAAUGAAACGUCUGAUUCCUGGUAAGUGCUGUCAGCACAGCAGCUGGGAGAAGAAUAUCUGAGGGAAAUGCACAAGUGCACUGGCAUUUAUUUAUUUCCUGGGGAUAUUUAUAUAGGACAGACCUCAGAGCACAAGUGCACUUGAUGCUUCUGUCAACCAAGGAGGGGAAAUGGGACUGCAAGGCAGGCUGCGCUGUGCGGUCCUUGCUCUCAGAGCCCCUUUUCGUUGCCAUGUGUGGACCCCAAGGCUCUGCAGGCUGCUGCAAUUGAAUCCCUGAGUUUACAUAUUAUGGGAGGC
rnacentral:lncRNA from 1 species